UCUCUCUCUCUCUCUCUCUCUCUCUCUCUCUCUAUAUAUAUAUAUAUAUAUAUAUAUAUAUAUAUAUAUAUAUAUCAGCCACAACCCUAAAACUUUUUUCGAUUUCACUCUGGUUAAGGUUAGGGCUGAACUGAAAUUGAGACUUUCACUCUAAAAUUGGGGAUUUCACUCUAAUUAGGGUUAUGCUUCCUUGCUUGCUUAGGUACUUAUAUUUGCAGUAAUUUGUGGGAUUAUUGUUUGUAACUUCAAGCAAUUUUGAUUUUCAGAGAGACCAGCUGAGGAUUUUGUAGGAAACUUUGUAUGAGCAAGUGCCUGGUAGCGAAAUGGCAGCUUUGUGGUGGUAUGAGUUUAAAGGUGGUGAAAGAGUUGCCUCAAGUGCAAGAGAGAGAAGCAACAGGGGGAAGAUUUGGCAGUGGUGGGCAUGGCGGCGGUGGGUGUGCCUCAAUUGCGUGAGAGGGUGAAGAAUGCAAGCAUGGAAUGCUAUAAGAUGGAAAGAGAAUAUGGUUUCUACAACUACAAAGCAGUCAAGAUGCCGAAUGAUUUGGUGGCAAAGAAGAGCGGAAUGAUUUGAUAGCAAAUAAAAUGGAGAUGUAAAUCCUAGGCGAAUUUGUCUUACAAUUGAAAAGUUGAAUAUUGGAAUGUAGCCUCUCUCUUUUUGUGUUUGCAAAUGAGGUUUAUACCAUUAGAGGAGAAUGUACUCUUAUUUAUUUGGAUAUGAAUGAUAUUUAUCAUGAGAAUGUAUUCUAAUGAUAUUUGUCAUGAAUGGAUAAGUUGGCAAAGGAUUUUAGCUAUGAAUAUGGCUUGUGAAUGGUGAUUUAGAAUGAGAAA